rfam:Schistosoma mansoni strain Puerto Rico chromosome 1, complete genome
GCACUGCUGAGGAGUCCCAUUAUAGGACGAAACGACCGUCCAGUGC